CUGAGUGGCAAAACUCGUCGUGGAAGCGCUGGUGGCGACCAGGAAUGGCGAGGCGGAGCAGAGGCCAUGAACGAGAGGAGAGGUCGCGAGGUGGAUGAGAGGCGGCGCAUUGGGUCAGGACUCUGGAGAGGAAGAAUCGGGGCGCAGGGCCGCUGGAUUUGCAUCCAGGCGGCGGGCGGCGGCGGCGGCAGGCAGGCGCGAGGAGGGCGACGAUGCUGCAGUCGGCUAGAGCCUAGAGGCCCCACAGAUGGGUGGUGAGGG
rnacentral:lncRNA from 1 species